rnacentral:sRNA from 1 species
AAUCUGAAGAAUGAAGUCACCUUUGAUUCUAAAUGAGUCGGAAAGUUUCCUGCCUCGUCGGGCGCAGCUUGAGCUUGCCCCAUCGGCCGCGAUCGGUGGAGGCUGCGGCGGAUCCAGCCCGGGGCCUCAAGGCCUCUCCCCAACCUCCGGGCCAGUCUCCCUCCCCCACCUUCUCGUCCGCCGGGAACUGCGGCUGCCGUCCCUGAGAUGCGACCCUCGCGGGGGCGACCCUGAGGGGUGGCGGCCCAUGUGCUGAGCGGCGGCCCAGAAGCCUAGGCGUCCGGGGACCAACUUCCUGCCGCCUGGGAACCCGAGCCUCCCGGUGUCGCGCCUCGCUCGGUCCGCACCGGCCUGCGGAGCCGGGUCCCCGCCCUGGUCGCGGGGACGCUCGCCAGGUGCCCAGGAGUCCCGACUUGGCCACUGCCCGCGCCCCGCCGGCCUCCACGCCUCGCGCGGAGGACCUCAGCCACCGCCGUCUCGGAUCGUGCCAGGCCGGGGACCGCGUCCCCCUUCCCGGGGCGGCCUCCGCUCAGCAGGGGCGAUGCAGACUGUCCCG